rnacentral:lncRNA from 1 species
GAGAGAGAGCGAGCUGACACCAACACCAGGCAGAGUCCACCAUGAAGGCAAGUGGCAGUGUCCCAAGGAGAGCCCGCUGGCCAGGAGGGCACCGCAAGCUUGGACACAGCAGGGGCACUGGAGAUGGGUCCACGAACCGCGUGCGCAGCCCAGGAGGCUGGCACAACUGGUGUCUGCAUGAAGACUAGGAACAGCUGGCUUCUUAUCUCACACCAUACACAAACAUCAAUUUAGGAUACAUUAAAGGUGGAAAUGCAGUCAGCAGAAAACUGUCUCCAUGAGAUAAAUGCUCCUGCCCAAAGCCCACUCUAGCAAUGCUUCCUCCCUGAACCACAACUCUGAACAGGCUGCCACUCACUGCAACUCCUUGCACAUGACAGACUUGCUGGGAAGAGCAGUAUACAGGUAUAAACAUCACUGAAGAAAUCCAGGUACAUGUGAAACACACAAGUGUGGAGCUGAAUGGAGCCACGCGAACCAAUACACAAUCGUCAGAUUCAGACCCAGACCCCAGCUGAGACGGCACCUCGCAAUGACUUGCUCCCAAAGAAAGAUGUUCUGGCCAGAGCCCUGGAGACCCCACACCUGGGGACUGGAGACCGCAGCCAUCCACCUGCAACUCUGUUCUCAGACACCUCUGCUGUGCGGUGGCCCCAGGAAAGCAGUGACACAAAAAGAAAAAAAAAAGCUUUCUGAAACGGUGCUUUAGAGGUUUAACCAAAAUAAAACUCAACCAAUUUUCUUCAAAACAUAAACUCCUGUUCUUGUUGUACUUUAGCACUUGCUUUACGUAAUUUCAUUUCUUUUUUUUUUUUGAGACGGAAUCUCACUGUGUCACCCAGGUUGGAGUGCAGUGGCGCGAUCUCCGCUCACUGCAAGCUCCGCCUCCCGGGUUCAGGCCAUUCUCCUGCCUCAGCCUCCUGAGUAGCUGGGACUACAGGCGCCCGCCACCACGCCCGGCUAAUUUUUUGUAUUUUUAGUAGAGACGGGGUUUCACCAUGUUAGCCAGGAUGGUCUCGAUCUCCUGACCUCGUGAUCCGCCCAUCUCGGCCUCCCAAAGUGCUGGGAUUACAGGCGUGAGCCACCGUGCCCGGCCACGUAAUUUCAUUUCUUAGGAAUAACAUUUUACAUUAAAGAAAAUACUUUGCCACGCUUUCACUCAUGAUUUUGCAGUUCCACUGGAAGGCUGAACAUCACUCUGGCAAGUUCAGACAUGUUCCAUUAAUCAUCUCCAAGGCUGCUUGCUACAAAGAAGCUGUUUCAUUCAACAGCAUCUCCUUAAACAAAAUCCAAGCCUGCUUUGCCUUUGGUAACCAAAACUUGAUUUAACCUCCCAAAGAGGGAGCCAGCCUGCUGCUGGCCACUGCGUGCCCUAGGCCUCAGCUUCCUGCUGCUGACUGGCUGCCUGCAUCUCCUCUGCGGCCCCGGCCUCAUGAAGCUGCCCACUGGUCCUGUGGUUCCUCAGGGGUCCUGGCACUGGCAAGGGGACGCAGCAAACCCACACCGUCGUGACCCUGGUCACAUACACCUGUCUUCAGGAAAACUUCUCUGUGAUGAAAGAACCCAGAUUCACAGUGGUGAACUCUUCAAAAACUAUACUAAACAAGGGAAGACUGUGCUAGAUGAAAUAACCAUACAUGCAUUUAUUCACAUGGGAAAUGGAUCAGACAAUGGCUGCCAAUGCUAAGAAUAAAUUCUUGAUGAGUUUCUAAGAAAUCAAGACAACCUUCAAGGUUGGGCCAAGAGCAUGGAUGGGAAAGGCAGAUGUGCAUCUGGUUCUGUUUUCUGACCAUAAUAAUGAGAUCUACAUGAAAGGAUGUCUUGAGAGGAGGGAACAGUGGUAAGAGUGAAGCCAGCAGAGAGAGCUUGGAAAAGAGAAUUCAGACCCAUCUUCAAGUUAACAAAAACAAUUACUGACUCAUACGAAGAAAUCGGGAAAGUCAAUAAAACGGAUGCUUCUAAACCUGUUGAUGAAGUUUUUCUGAAGUUGUGAAAAUUUCCAACAAAAAAGACUAACUCUAAGCCUGAAAGUAUCCUUUCCUUUCUUUUUGAGCCACGACACCCGGCCUCUUACAAGUUUUUUAUUUCCAACCUUAAGUGAAUUUGUGGACCAAAUUUCAAAACAACUUUUUGUGAAUUCAGUUCCUGCAUAAUAUGUUUGGUAAACAACUAAAAAACUGAUUCCUAGUACUGUUUCAGUAUUUAUCAAACAACUGAUCGUGUUCUAUAAAAAGGUUUAAAAAAAUAAAAUUCAGGAACAGUGGCCCAUGCUUGUAAUCCCAGCACACUGGGAAGCCUAGGCAAGAGGAUUUCUUGAGGCGUCUGAGACCAGCCCCAUGUCUACAAACAAUAAAAAAGUAGCUGGGCAUGGUGGUCGUGCCUGCAGUCCCAGCUAUUCAGGAGGCUGAGCCUGGAGGAUCGCUUGAGCCCAGGAAGUCGAGAUUGCAGUGAGCCAAUUUCGUGUCACUGCACUCCAUCCUGGGUGACCAAGCAAGACCCUGUAUCCAAAAAAAAAGAAAAAAAAAAGGCCAGGUGCGGUGGCUCACACCUGUAAUCCCAGCACUUUGAGAGGCUGAGGUAGGUGGAUCAUUUGAGGUCCGGAGUUUGAGACCAGCCUACCCAACAUGGUGAAACUCCGUCUCUACUAAAAAUACAAAAGAAUUAGCUGGGCGUGGUGGUGUGCGCCUGUAAUCCCAGCUACUCGGGAGGCUGAGGCAGGAGAAUCAUUUGAACCUGGGAGGCCGAGAUUGCAGUGAGCUGAGAUUGCGCCACUGCACUCCAGCCUGGGCAACAGACUAAGACACCGUCUCAAAAACAACAAGAACAAAAAACAUUAAAAAAUAAAAUUAAAAUUAAAAAAUAAAAAUCACAUGCUUUGGUCAUAAAAAUAAUAAGUGUAUCCUAUAAAUGUCCUGAGGUCAGGAGUUCAAGACCAGCCUGGCCAAUAUGGCAAAACCCCGUCUCCACUAAAAAUACAAAAAAUUAGCCGGGCGUGGUGCCAGGUGCCUGUAAUCCCAGCUACUCAGGAGGCUGAAGCAGGAAAAUUGCUUGAACUUGGGAGGUGGGGGAUGCAGUGAGCCAAGAUAGUGCCAUUGCACUCCAGCCUUGGUGACAGAGCGAGAUUCUGUCUCAAAAACAAAACAAAACAAAAAUUAAAUUUGACACUGGGCACAGCAGCUCACGCAUGUAAUCUCAGCACUAUGGAAGGUUGAAGCAGGCGGGUUGUUUGAGCCCAGGAGGUCGAGGCUAUAGUGAUCCACGAUCACACCACUGCACUCCAGCCCGAGCAAGACAGCAAGACUCUGUCUCAAAAAUAAGUAAACAAAAAUUGAAUUUGACCUGCAGGGGGUAGUCACAAUUGAGGAAUCUGAGCUGUGGGGCAAACUGUUCAAAUGAAGAUUCUGACCCACAGGAACAAACUGAUCCAAAAGGGAAAUAUGCCAGUCACGAAAGGACAAAUAUUGUAUGACCCCCCACCCCUUACAGGAGAGGUGCCUUGGACAGUGACAUUCAUAAGAGAAGAAAGGACAAAUAUCGUAUGACCCCCCCCCCCAACAGGAGACGCACCUUGAGUGGUGACAUUCAUAACAGAAGAAAGGACAAAUAUCGUAUGACCACCCCCCCGCAGGAGACGCACCUUGAGUGGUGACAUUCAUAAGAGAAGAAAGGACAAAUAUCGUAUGACCCCCUCCCAUAGGAGACGCACCUUGAGUGGUGACAUUCAUAAGAGAAGAAAGGACAAAUAUCGUAUGACCCCCCCCCCCCCCUUAUAGGAGAGGUGCCUUGAGUGGUGACAUUCAUAAGAGAAAGCAGAUUGGUGGUCAGGGGUUAUGGGGAGAGUCGAGGUUAUGGGGAGAGGGAUGAAGAGUUAGUGUUAAUGGGUAGCCGGUGUCGUCUGGGAAGACCAAGUUCUGGAGAGGGAUGGUGGUGAUGGCUUUGCACCGUGUGAAUCUAAUACCAGAGAACUGCACACUCAAAAAUGGUACAAAUGGUCAAUUUUAUACUGCUGGGCUCAGGGAAUCCUUCCCCUCAGCCUCCUGAGGAGCUGGGACCACAGGCACCUGCCACCACGCCUGGCUAACUUUUGUAUUUUUUGUAGAAACAGGGUAUCUUCAUUUGCCCAGGCUGGUCUCAAACGCCUGUGCUCACGUUAUCUGCUUCCCUCGGCCUCCGAAAGUGCUGAGACUACAGGCGUGAGCCACCACACCCCACUUAAUAAUUCCAUUUUAAUACCGAUUUACUAAACAAGGAAAAGCUCAUAGAAUUACUAACUAUGCCAUCUUAUUUAGGCUACCUAAAUUCUCUGAACUUCAUCUUCUAAAUAAAUAAGAAGAAAUGUAUCUUUUAACACUAAUAACUAUGGUCAUUCCCAUUAAAACAUUAAGUUUUGAAAACUAGGGUUCUCAUUUAAGCCUGUCUCACAGCAGCUCAGCUCUCAGAAUGUUCAGAAGACUCUGACACUGCCCUCUCCCCUCCUCUGGCACUCAUUUUGGAAACCUGCAGAGCAUCUAUUGAAAAAGCCCAUCCCAGCAUCUUCUUAAUCACUGGUAUACUUCCGUCUGUCACGAGCUUCAUUUAAAAAAAGCGUCACGCUCCCUCUCCCUCC